GCGGGAGUGGUGAAAUGGCAGACACGCAAGUCUUAGGAACUUGUGCUUCGGCGUGCGGGUUCAAGUCCCGCCUCCCGCA
rnacentral:tRNA from 1 species